rnacentral:rRNA from 1 species
GUGGGGAAUAUUGGACAAUGGGGGGAACCCUGAUCCAGCCAUGCCGCGUGUGUGAAGAAGGCCUUUUGGUUGUAAAGCACUUUAAGCGAGGAGGAGGCUACCGAGAUUAAUACUCUUGGAUAGUGGACGUUACUCGCAGAAUAAGCACCGGCUAACUCGGUGCCAGCAGCCGCGGUAAUACAGAGGGUGCAAGCGUUAAUCGGAUUUACUGGGCGUAAAGCGCGCGUAGGUGGCCAAUUAAGUCAAAUGUGAAAUCCCCGAGCUUAACUUGGGAAUUGCAUUCGAUACUGGUUGGCUAGAGUAUGAGAGAGGAUGGUAGAAUUCCAGGUGUAGCGGUGAAAUGCGUAGAGAUCUGGAGGAAUACCGAUGGCGAAGGCAGCCAUCUGGCCUAAUACUGACACUGAGGUGCGAAAGCAUGGGGAGCAAACAGGAUUAGAAACCCGGGUAGUCC